GGACAUUUGGCCACAGACAGUUGUGAAGGGAGAACUCCAUGUGAACGUGUAGACCUGCAUGCCGAGGAGGGGCCUGGAACAGAUCCGUCCUUCACAGCCUUGGAAGGAACUGACCUGCUGGCACCUUGAUCUCAAAUUCCUGCCUCCAGAACUGGGCGACAAGGCAUGUCUGUUGUUGAAGCCACCCAGGCUGUGGCACUUUGUUAUGGCAGCCCUAGUGAAAGAAUGCAGUCACUUUUAUUUCCAAGGGAAGCAGAAUUAAAUGAGCUCCCUCAAGAGAUCUUCUGGCAAUAUUUGGGACGUGUCUGUGUGUGCGUGGACAGGGCCGUGUGCAGGCGGAUCAGCGUGCAGCGCUGGCAGGCACCUCUGUGUCGUAAGUGCAGGCCUCCCGUGUCACCCUUCAGGCAUCCAGGGAAGGAAGCAGAUAAAAUGAAGCUCCUCAUGCCCCAGGUUCUGUUUCUUCUUUGGAAUGCUCGAAGGCUUCCCAGCUGUUCUGUGUUCAGGCCUGGCUUUCGAGAGGCUUCAGGCCAGAGGGGAGAAGGUGGCUGAAGCUGGUCCUGGGUCUCUCCGAGCCCCUCAAAGUACUCUUUGGGUGCAUUAGAAACCGUCCUUGUGCUGCUGGCAGCAGUUGCCAUGCCACUGAAGAAUGGCAGCAAAGCCCAAAUGGAAAAAGAGACUUCUGUACGCGUGGCUUCCAACCCCAAAGAACAGAAAGCCAGGGCCCUCAUUCUCCUCAGAACUGUUAUCUGGAUGGCUCACCAGGAGCACAGCCCCUGUGUUCCUAGCUCGCUCUCCCUGGAGGCCCUGAAGACCACACAAUGUUGCCUGCCACUGUGGGAGUGACAGGCUCCCCUGGUCACAGCCUGGACGGGUCCUGACAGGUGCAGUGGGAGAACAAAGCGUCAUUCUGAGGGUGAGGAAUUUCACUAAGCAGCAAACAUGUGUUGCGUGUCUGCUUUGUCUCAGACAUCGUACGAUAUGCCGUUACAUUUACUCCAUUUCAUCUUUGUGACAAUCCUGUGAGAUAGGAAUUCCCAUAUCCACCUAAGAGAUGAGGAAACCGAGGCUCAGAGGGACAGGGAACAUACAACUGGGGAGGGGCCGAGAUGGUUCUAGAACAUCCGUCCUUUGGCAUCAAGGGGAGUACAUAGGAAUCACCUAGUAUGUUACUGGGAGGUCUAGACACUCAAACGUGAAUUUGCUUCUCUCUCUAGAGAGCUACCAGAUUUAGCAAAUAAAAGGGCAAGACGUUUAGUUAAAUUGGAAUAGAAUUGCAUAUAAAUAAUGAAUACUUUUUUUUUUUUGAGACAGAUUCUUGCUCUGUUGUCCAGGCUAGAGUUCAAUGGCGGGAUCACACUGCACUGCAGACUCCAUCUCUUGGGCUCAAGUUACCCUCCCACCUCAGCCUCCCAAGUAGCUAGAACUACAGUGCUGCUUCCAGGUGAAGCUUGUAGUUGGUUUAAUGCUGAAGGAGCCUUCAUUUGCUGAAGCUGGGACUAUAUUCAGCCUUACUCUGAACUCUGGGGGCUCUCCAAAACUCUUUCUGAAAUCAGCCUCACUAUCCACAGUUGAGGUUACCAGGACUGUCAACCUGAGGAGAAUCAGCUCUUCCACACUGAGCCCUGAAGAUCACAUGGCAGAGUGAGCUGGAGCGAGGGUCUUGCUCCAUUGUCCAGCUAGAGUGCAGUGGCGAGAUGAUGACUCACCACAGCCUCCAUCUCUUGGGCUCAAGCUAAGAGCCCUCCCCCAUGGCUCAGCCUGCCCCGAGGCCAGACCUCGUACAUAGUGCAUGGCUGCCUUCAAGACGUCUCCAAGAAGCCCUCGCUGAGAAGCCCCCGGCGCACACACAAAAUCACAUUGCCAUUUAGUUGAAUUUCUUCAUUGUACAGGUUAAGAAAUGGAAAAUGUGACUCUCAAGGAUUAUACACAACUAAAGCUGUGUGAAACUGUGAUGAGUACCCGGGCAACAGGGAAGUAGGAAUUUCUCACCAGCCCACGUGCCAGGAUCCAGCCUCAACUCUCUGCACAUCUCCAGUGUGGAACAGCACCAUGCGCCUAAUGAGUUCUUCUCUGACUGAUUGAUUGAUUGAUUACUAAAACACUCAGCGCUCCUGGCAAAGCAGUUCUCACUCUGUUGAACAAAUUAUCUUUAUGCAUUGCAGUCUCUUGAGCUUAGAUGAAGGCAAGCUCACUAUAAUCUUCAGAUCAUUUAGCAAUGUCUUGGAAUCAUUGGAUAUGAGAAAAUAUCCAGGCAUGUGGGAUAGGAAGGGGGAAGAAAAGCAGGACUUGGAGGGACUGUGCUAGUGGAUUUCAACUCUAUAUUUUCUAAUCUGAACCAGGGGCAGGCAAACUACUGCCUUGUAGGCCAAAUCUGGCCAGUGGCCUAUUUUAUCAUUGAUUGAUUGAUUGAUGGGGUCUUGUCUUGCUCUGUCACCCAGGCUGGAGUGCAUCGGCUCGAUCAUUGCUCACUGCAGCCUCAAACUCUUGGACUCAAGCCAUCCUCCCACCUCAGCCGCCCAAGUAGCUAGGACUACAGGCGUGCACUGUAAUGCCUGGCUAAUAUAUAUAUAUAUAUAAAUAUAUAUACAUAUUUUUUGUAGAAAUGGCAUCUUGCUGUGUUGCCCAGGCUGGUCUUUAAAUCCUGGCCCCAAGCGAUCCCUGACUUUAUGGCACUUGCUCAGCCUGGUGUGACAGUGUCUGUCUCCUCGAGGCCAGGAGCCCCUGGCAUGCAGCCACCAUGCCCCAUUUAUAAUCGUAGCCCAGCACGUGGAAGGGACCCAAGAGAAUGACAACAACGUUGGCUUUGCCAUUUCAACCCUGAACCUCAUUUUACUGUUCUAUUUGUAUUAUCUGGGGGACAAAAUUUUCCCACAUUCCUUUCUGUUGGUGCCACCAUCUCUGUGCCUCCGUGUGCUGCUGACCCGCCAAGCCCAUGGCCAGCUCAGCACUUGGAUUUUAUUUGGUCUCUCAGUAUGGGUUCCUUUAUCAGCAUUUCAAAAAGCUUUUGUGUUUUAUCCAUAAUUGAUUAAAGGUUUGUAGCUCUGAAUAAAAGAUUGAUUAAAAGCAAC